rnacentral:ncRNA from 1 species
UCGUUUUAAAUUGAGAGUAAACUAGUAUCUAAUUUUGGGUAUUGAAGGUAAUAACAAGGGUCAAGGUCGGCCAGUGAGACGAUGGGGGAUAAGCUUCAUCGUCGAGAGGGAAACAACCUGGAUCACCAAUUAAGGCCCCUAAAUGACCGCUAAGUGAUAAAGGAGGUAGGGGUGCAGAGACAACCAGGAGGUUUGCCUAGAAGUAUCCACCCUUGAAAGAGUGCGUAAUAGCUCACUGAUCGAGUGCUCUUGCGCCGAAGAUGAAUGUGGAUAAACGAUCUGUCGAAGCUGUGGGAUGUCAAAAUGAUCGGUAGGGGAGUGUUCCGCCUUAGGGGGAAGGACCCUUCGCGAACAGUGUUGGACGAAGCGGAAGCG